AUUAAGAUGGAGGAUAUGCCUUCCUGUGUCUGCAAAUGAUGGCUAUAUUACUUCCAGGAUCAGAGGCAAGAUGAAUAUCAGUUGCUUGGGAAAAGCAGCAGGAGAGGGCUAUUACUUUCAUGCUCUGUUUGUGGACUUCCCAGAAGGCAUCCUGUUGACUACUGUGGGAAAUAAGAUGGUGGACUAGAUGAACCUUUGAUAUUCCCCCUGUACAUCUCCUUGCCCACCAAAGAUGAGAUGUGAUGAUCCUUGAUGCCUUUCACUAAUACAGAGCCAACGGUAACAACAUGGCUGUGCUAUUACCCCUGGUGACUUCAUUAGAAACGAAAAGUCCUUCAGCAAGGCACGAAGAAGAGCUUCACGGGGUCUCCAAGGAGAUUGUGUCUACGUUUCCAGAAUCCAGACAAGCCGCCUCCAACCAGCACAGUAGAAAAAAAUGCACUAAAUUGUCAUGUAGCUGGGCUGGGAGGGCAGGGGGGAGAGAAGCAAAUGAAUGCAGGCGCCAUCUCUUCACAGAAAAUAAAGCAUGAAAGCUCGUGUUCAUUUCUGCUUUAUACACUUACUC